UACGAAGGGGCUAGCGUUGCUCGGAAUCAGACGUGGGCGUAAAGCGGCACGUAGGCGGAUUGCUAAGUCAGGGGUGAAAUCCUGGAGCUCAACUCCAGAACUGCCUUUGAUACUGGCGACCUUGAGUCCGGGAGAGGUGAGUGGAACUGCGAAGUGUAGAGGUGAAAUUCGUAGAUAUUCGCAAGAACACCAGUGGCGAAGGCGGCUCACUGGCCGGUACUGACGCUGAGGUGCGAAA
rnacentral:rRNA from 1 species